rnacentral:rRNA from 1 species
GACGUAGGGCGCGAGCGUUGUCCGGAUUUAUUGGGCGUAAAGCGCACGUAGGCGGCUUUUUAAGUCGGAGGUGAAAUCCUGGAGCUCAACUCCAGAACUGCCUUCGAUACUGAAGAGCUCGAGUCCGGGAGAGGUGAGUGGAACUGCGAGUGUAGAGGUGAAAUUCGUAGAUAUUCGCAAGAACACCAGUGGCGAAGGCGGCUCACUGGCCCGGUACUGACUCUGAGGUGCGAAAGCGUGGGGAGCAAACAGG